GAUUGGACGGUCCAGAUCUCAUCGGGCCCAGGAGCUGCCCGCCUCUUCUCCGAAGCCCGCAGAGCUCUGGCCACCACGGCAUUUUAAGUCCUUCCCCCGUCGUCUUUCGGCGACGGUGGAAGGAGAGCCCGAGGAGGUGGAGUUUUCCAAACAAGGGCCUUCUGUUUCGCUGGAUCGCAUCAAACGUGGAUGAGGGAACAAGCUGGCAUCAUCGCUAGUUGAGUAAAAUGAUCUGGCGUCGGGUCCAAUUUGCCCUUUAAUGAUGUGAUGAAAUGCGUUGAAUAAAACAUUUGAAUUUUAAAUGGCGGAUUGUGCUGUUAUGCCAUUGCAUGCCCAUCUACAAAUGGAUAGGAUUUGGUCCAAAAGUGUUCUCUUCGUGCCUAAAAAAGCUUAUGCAAGGAUAUCAUGGAGGAAUUACUUAUUUAUGAAAAGUAAUCUUGUUUCUCGAUUUCAAUCACCCAAAGUUCAUGUGGAUGGUGCUUCUUUUCGCAUAGCAUUAGAAGGAAGCCAGUGCAUGAAGAAGAGUUUCUGUAAGUGUUGUUGCUUUGGGUCUUUGACAAAUCCUGAGGGUGCAGUACCAUCGAAUUGGGUGUCUGUUGUCGACCAAAUGCUUCUAAUGGUCAGUAUAGUCUUUGCACAUCUGGCUGGGGUAAUACCCGGCAGGAGGGCAUACAUUGGCAUGAAUAAUAACACUACAAGUCAACAUCAUGAUGCUGCAAGCUCGACCAAUUAUGGUAGGUCUACAGAGUCCAAUAUGAAUGAUCCUUGGAUUGAAGUAAAAGAGAAACUUAUGGAUGCUUUGACUGCUAUUGAACAUGAUGGAAGGAUGGAGAACAGAGCAGCUGAACAUGAAAAUGAAAGCAAAAUGCAUCCCUUGAAUAUCUUUGCUGUUGAUAAAGGUCCCAGACUGCGGUUGCUUUGGGUUACUUUACAGCAACUUCAAAAAGAGGUCCAUCAUAUCUCACAAACCCAUGAGUCUGUUAGCCGGGAUAUCUGGCUACUUGUUGCCUUGGAAGUCAUAAAAGGAGCAAUCCAACCGGUGUACAUAAAAUGGCUCGAGAAGGAACUGACCCUGGAAAUUGGACAACCUGAUACGAAGCUUACUGAUAGAAUGCUCGGGAAGUUAAAUGGAGCUGAUAGAAUCUUACAGAAUAUUAGUAGAUCGGGGAAGGCUGAACUCUAUGCUGACUUGCUGUUCUUCCUUAGAUUUGGUUCUCUCAGAAAUGGAUGCUGUUACGACAAUAGACUUCUGACUCGACAUGGAGUUGACAUUCUGGAAGAUCUGGUGAUUCUGUUAGCAGAUGAAAUUGCAAGCAUUUAUCUUGAACUGAUUUCUAUUGACAGUGAUAUGUCCAGUGAGAUGAAUGGCUUGGGCUUAACUUUGUGUUCUCUGUCUACCAGAUCGCUUCAAAGACUAAGAAAUGAGGUCUUUGGUGGUAUUGAACCAGUGGCUUCAGCAAAACUUCAAGUCGGUUGUCACAAUGUAUGAGGACCGAUUUGAGUUAGUUGUCUUCAGCAGGAAACAGCUAGAGGACUCAGUGGACAGUCGACAUGAGAAGAUUAUUUGGUGGAAGAAGUUUGCUUUCAGAAAGUCAACAAGACCAUCCUUAUUGCAUCAUGUCCAGAUCAACCCAUUUUCCUUGCCUGUCAAACGAACCAAGGAGUUGAGAGCCCUGACUGGAUGAGUCUACAUAUGGUUAUUUCAUCUCAAAAUCCAAGCUAAAUGAUGGGGCAUGGUUACCUUCCAUACUACUAAGAUCCAUCUUUAACCAUUGCUUUAUGGGGUACUGAUGGGUGAUUAUUUAUUUAUGGCCUGUCUAAGGGCCUCAAUCACCCGACAACUUGUGGCUGAUUGGUUCUUAAUUCUAAAAGCUUUUUAACUCCUGCGGAACUGAUUUAUAUAAGAGGUACUACUUUAGCUUGUAUCUGGAGUUCUCAGAUAUCACAAUGCCUUUUGCUAGAGCUGUUUUUACCAAGAUUAGGGGUGCUGUUUCUUUCUUCCUAAUGUGUAUGAUUGGAAGGUCUUUAGGACUUAUUUUUAACGGGAUAAGGCAGUCCUUGGGCUGGAGGUAAGAUGUCUUUGUUUCGGUUUUCCUUUAUUUGUCACCAUUUAUUGACAUCUUUUUUUUCCUGAAACUAUGGGGAAAGAAUGAUGCAUGACACUUGGAAGUUAAACUUGUUUUCUUCUAUUACCCGCAAAAUAUAAAUAUUUUAGAAGCAAAUGAAUUUUUUUGAGCAAGCACCUUUUGAUUGAUAAAGGCUUUUCUUCUGUUUUUUAUGUUUUAACUUUCUGCUGCAACUACCUCUUCUAUUUGUUGAUCUUCUUGAAGGAUUAUAACUUUCCAAGAAAUUGAUAGUUCACUGCUGUUUGGUACUAGAAAUUCUUCUGAUAUCCGUUCAAUGUAUACUAGACCUUGUUUCUAUCUUUUCUCAUUGUAUGUUAGUUUUUUAGUUGUUUUGAGAAACUUGAGGUGAAAUUGAUUGUGAUUAGGUAAAGAUUGAGUCCAGAAAUUCUUCUGAUAUCUGUUCAAUGUAUACUAGACCUUGUUUCGAUAUUUUCUCAUU